rnacentral:lncRNA from 1 species
GCCAUACACUAUAUAAGAGUAGAGAGAAAAACUAACCUCCAGGUGUUUACCAGAGUGAGCUGUCAGGAAGAUAAAAUCAACAUCAAGACUGUUUUUUGUUUUACAAUAUGGUGAGAGCAAUAGAAAAGUAAUAAUUAGCAUUUAGUGAACACCUGAGGUGAAUGCAAUCACUAGUCCCAUUUUUGCAGAUGAGCAAAGUGUAUCAUUCAGGCUACUGCCCAGCCCUUACAAAGCACCCACUGACACAGCUGACAGCAUGCAAUGCAUCACCAGGCCUCACAGCCCCACUGCCAGGUGCGGCCAGCAGCACCACCAUGUUACUGGGCCUCACAGCCCUGCUGCCAGGUGUCAUCUGCUCAUGCUUCUCUCCAGGAAACAGAGGCUACUGUGCAGGCUCCUCAGCAAACAGAUUAUGCCAUGAUGUUAUUACUAUCUCUUUCAAUAACCAUUCAGUGAAACCUGAAAUGAUAGGACUAUCAUCUGCCAGGGGAACAAGCUGGCCUAAGCUUUUGCAUCAAUAUACCAGUUGGCAGACAUAAACUGAAGAUGACAGAGAUGGUUGUUUGUGCAUUAGAGAAAAACUGAUCUCUUCAACCGAGAAAAGAGUGGACAACAGUGAAAAUGUUGCUAAGAAUCAUAGGUAAAAAUAAGCAAUUUGCCAAUAAUUUAUUUCUUAGUGUACUGCUAACCUUCACGCUUUUCCUCUUAACCAACAACUUUUUAAAAUCUUUAACACAGGUACCAUAAACCUGCAAGCUUAUUUAGCUUUCCAGUUUACACAAACUCUAGGGGGACACUGGCAGUUCAGUACCGCCUUCCUUGAUAUUUCAGUGUCUCUUCCAACCAAAAUGUAGUGCCACUUGUGUACAUUCUUCAGAAAAGCAUGGGAAUGCUGAUCAUCAUCUGAAAAUUAAUUAGGAAGUGAAAUGCAAUAAACGUCUUAUUUAUUCUCCGUUACUCCGUUUG